rnacentral:tRNA from 1 species
GGAGUGGCUGUGGCUCAGAGGUAGAUUAUUGGCUUGGCAUGCAGGAAGUCUGGGGUUCAAUUCCCAGCAUCUCCA